rnacentral:rRNA from 1 species
GUCGAACGGUGAAGCCAAGCUUGCUUGGUGGAUCAGUGGCGAACGGGUGAGUAACACGUGAGCAACCUGCCCUGAACUCUGGGAUAAGCGCUGGAAACGGCGUCUAAUACUGGAUAUGAGCUGCGGAGGCAUCUUCGUGGUUGGAAAGAUUUUUCGGUUUGGGAUGGGCUCGCGGCCUAUCAGCUUGUUGGUGAGGUAAUGGCUCACCAAGGCGUCGACGGGUAGCCGGCCUGAGAGGGUGACCGGCCACACUGGGACUGAGACACGGCCCAGACUCCUACGGGAGGCAGCAGUGGGGAAUAUUGCACAAUGGGCGGAAGCCUGAUGCAGCAACGCCGCGUGAGGGAUGACGGCCUUCGGGUUGUAAACCUCUUUUAGCAGGGAAGAAGCGAAAGUGACGGUACCUGCAGAAAAAGCGCCGGCUAACUACGUGCCAGCAGCCGCGGUAAUACGUAGGGCGCAAGCGUUAUCCGGAAUUAUUGGGCGUAAAGAGCUCGUAGGCGGUUUGUCGCGUCUGCUGUGAAAACCCGAGGCUCAACCUCGGGCCUGCAGUGGGUACGGGCAGACUAGAGUGCGGUAGGGGAGAUUGGAAUUCCUGGUGUAGCGGUGGAAUGCGCAGAUAUCAGGAGGAACACCGAUGGCGAAGGCAGAUCUCUGGGCCGUAACUGACGCUGAGGAGCGAAAGGGUGGGGAGCAAACAGGCUUAGAUACCCUGGUAGUCCACCCCGUAAACGUUGGGAACUAGUUGUGGGGUCCAUUCCACGGAUUCCGUGACGCAGCUAACGCAUUAAGUUCCCCGCCUGGGGAGUACGGCCGCAAGGCUAAAACUCAAAGGAAUUGACGGGGACCCGCACAAGCGGCGGAGCAUGCGGAUUAAUUCGAUGCAACGCGAAGAACCUUACCAAGGCUUGACAUACACGAGAACGCUGCAGAAAUGUAGAACUCUUUGGACACUCGUGAACAGGUGGUGCAUGGUUGUCGUCAGCUCGUGUCGUGAGAUGUUGGGUUAAGUCCCGCAACGAGCGCAACCCUCGUUCUAUGUUGCCAGCACGUAAUGGUGGGAACUCAUGGGAUACUGCCGGGGUCAACUCGGAGGAAGGUGGGGAUGACGUCAAAUCAUCAUGCCCCUUAUGUCUUGGGCUUCACGCAUGCUACAAUGGCCGGUACAAAGGGCUGCAAUACCGCGAGGUGGAGCGAAUCCCAAAAAGCCGGUCCCAGUUCGGAUUGAGGUCUGCAACUCGACCUCAUGAAGUCGGAGUCGCUAGUAAUCGCAGAUCAGCAACGCUGCGGUGAAUACGUUCCCGGGUCUUGUACACACCGCCCGUCAAGUCAUGAAAGUCGGUAACACCUGAAGCCGGUGGCCCAACCCUUGUGGAGGGAGCCGUCGAAGGUGGGAUCGGUAAUUAGGACUA